rnacentral:piRNA from 1 species
UUAUUGCUAGGUUUCCUUACCAGAACAAUA